rnacentral:lncRNA from 1 species
CAUUCAUUCAUUCAUUUUUAUUCUUCUUAGGUUUUAUUUGUUUUAUAUGUGUGUGCGCUUGCCUGUGUGUGUUUAUGUACAUCACAGGAGUGCCAUGUCUGUGAAGCCAGAAGAGAAUGUUGGAUUCCCCUGGCACUGGAGUUACAGGCAGUUGUGAGCUGCUUGCUAUAUGGGUGCUGGGAACUGAACCAGGGUCUUCUGCAAGAACAGUCAGUGCUCUGACCGACUAAGAGCUCUUACCCAUUAAGCUAUCUUUCCAUGGAUUCCUCUCCAUCUUAAAGAUGAGGAAAGUGAGAGUCACAACAGCUAUGCACUUUACCUUAGGUGACACAGAGAAGAAGCUGAGGCAGUGGUCAAAGCCUUGUCCAGCAGCAGCAGGCCCUCUCCCUGUGCUGAGACCAGAACGUCAGCAGUUUAGUUCACUCCUCUGUCUAAAAAGGUAUUAUAGAGAGCGUUUACCUUGUUUUCUCUCUCUCAAAACCCAAGUGUUCUUUGUUCCAGGUUGCUUUUGCCUUACAUGUAGUCCCUGAAGGAUCAUAAUUUCCUGGGUGGCUACAGAAUUCUCUUCUCUGCUACAGUAUAGAGGUCCAAACCCCAGUUUUCCUGCUUAUUGGAGCACAUACAUCUCAUAUGUCAAAGGCCUAAAUUCCAGGCAAGCCGGUGAUAAUGCCCCAGUCAUCAGAUUUGAAACCAAAUUUCAGCAAAGACAUUUGCUGCCAGAAAGCAAAUUAGCCCUUUCUUUUCUCUGUCAUUUUUUCCCACCCAAACAUAACAUCCUCUUAUGAAAUAUGUCCGAUCUGCAAUAUUUGCUUUCCCUUAUUUAAUAACAGGAAAGGCUUUGCUGCACUUUUGUUGAUUUUUGCAUUUCUUAUUAAAAUUCUUAAGGGGGUUUUGGGGGAACUUAAUCAGCAAAAAAAGGAGGAGAGAAAAAAAAUUCCUCAUGUGCGGUCCCCAGGACUUGCAAACGGAGGAAGCACGCUGUUUGUUUAAGAGCUGCUGAUGGGAGAAGCAGCUGGCCACGUGUUCCGGAACCUUCCUCAGACUCUUCCUUCUCUGAGCGCCUUUCUCAGCUGUCUACAGAGCAGGGCAAAUGCCAAGAACGUGGAGCUGGCGUCCAUGCUUCUUGCCUGGCUGGGGUGGAUAUAGAAAUUCAUGGAACACCUAGCAUGCUUGCUACAGGAGGCCUCAGUUUCCCCUUUUUGCUUUGGCCAGCACCUCUUGUCCAAUCUCUCUUCCCAUACGGCCUGCUGUCCUAGGGACUAAGAGGAAAGGGCUUGCAGUAGUCACAUACUCUCAGGGACAGUAGGUGAUCCCUAAUUGUAACUUGCUGUAUGUCACACAGCUGUAGGGUAGCAGAGCUCAGCGUCCUGAGCUGUACCCUCCUGGUCAUCACAUGUGUUUAUUUCACUGCAUGGUCUCGCCAGGGCCACAUAAGGCUUUGUGUGACAGAGUAGAUAUACCAUAUCCUUAGGCUUUAAAAUUCUGCCCCAGAGAGGUUGUGGCUACCACCCUUGCUUCCUGAUUGGGGGGCUUCAAGUUGCUUCAAGAUUUUAGUUUUUAUAUUUACAUUCUAGUAGAAAUGAUUAUAUUAAAAUUUUAAAGUUGCAUUUAUUUAUUUGUGUAUCUGUAGGUGUGUGUGGGAGUGCUCACGUGGGAGGCCAGAUGACAUCUUUUAGGUGCUGGUUUUCCUCUUCUAGCCGAUCGGUGCAGGGUACUGAACCCCGAUAGUCAGGCUUGAUUGCAAGUGCCUUUAUCAGCUGAUGCCCUCUCACCAGCCCAGGAAAAUUGUAUUUCUAAGCACUGUUACGAUGUCAUUGUACUAUUAUUAUAACGUAUGCAUGGUUCGUCAUCAGAAGACCCCUUUACAGAGUCAGCAUCCCUGUCUCUUCCACAGAUGAGGAGCCAGGUCCAGACAGGCCAAAGGAUCUGACAACCAAAGCUGUGGUAGACCAGAAUUGGAAUCUAAGUCUCUAAGCCUGGAAAGAAAAGUUGGGGCCAUGUGAAGGGCUUCACCUGGUGUUCUUAGGAAUUUGGAUCUUUAUACAAAGGGACACCUGGAAGGCUUCAGGGGCAGUGAUUCAGCCUGGUUUGGACUGUGGAGGCCGGGGGUGGAGAACAAACCAGAGGGCCCAGGGCCCUACGGAAGAGGCUGUUCUUUUAGGAGCUGCAGGCAAGAGGGCCCCAGGGUUGCCCACCCCACAUCCUGUUUCCUCCCACCUCCUCUAUACUCACCCUCCUCCUAGAGUCCCUCUCUGGUUCCUCCUCUCUCUGUGGUGGUGGGAUUUGAACCCAGAACUUCAUGCUUGUCAGGCUCUUCUCAUUCUUCCCUCCUCACUUUGUGUGCUCAAGGCUUCAGUCAUAGUGAGUCUUGACCUUGCGUAGGUCAGAGAGCUGUCUGAAGACUCAGGAAAGGAAAUCUACAGGCUCUGUGCACAACUGCUUUGUGCAAGGAACCCGGCGUCAGGUUUCACAGACCCCAACACUACUUUUGCUUUCGAACAACCAGGAAGACAGGCACCCCAAAGGUAUCAGCUGUGCUUUGUAACUGUCCUGGGAAUGGGUGUGCAGCUGAGGAGGCAGAGAGGGCCAAGUUUGUCCUCUGAGCGGUCAAAUGACUGGCUUGGAAGAGAUGCUAGAUUGACAUGAGUUCCAGGCCAGCUUGGGCUACAGAGUGAGACCCUGUCUUUAAGCAACAAAACCAGAAGGAAAAAAAAGGGGAGCGGGGGUGUGCUAGACCAGAGAGAGCCCUAAGUGAUUGGUUGCUAUCCUUUUUCUCCUUCCCUCCCUCCUCUGUCCCUCUCUGGCUCUGUUGUUCAGGCUAUUCUCAAACUCUCCGGCUCAAGUCAACCUCCUGCCUUGGCCUUUUGUACAGCUAGGACGACAGGGGUCUGCUCAGAGCACAGUAAUAUCUGUUUGUCCUUCUUAUUCUUUGACCGAGUCCUGUGUAGCUCAGGUUGGCUUUAAACUCUUUAUAUAGCUGGGCAUGCAAGAGAGCAGCAGAUGGAGGCAGGGAGGUCCCCCGUGCCAUUAGCCACCAGAGUCUCCUCAACAGUCCCUCCCAAGCCUCCUGCUUACCAAGCAUCACUCUGAUUUGAUUUGGCUUUCUGUGGACUGUUCCUACAGGGAGCUCAAGUGUUGGCAGCAGGACAUAUGUAUCUGGUCCCUUUGGCAGUGAUAUUUUCACUGUAAAUUAGUAAAUUGGGAACAGAUAAUCCACAGAAGAAGCCACGGAAAUGACUAAUAUGUAACAUAAAAAUUCUUCCUCUCUAGGAUUCAAGGAAACAUAAAUUCAAAUCCAAACACAGAUUGUCUCCAAUCUCCUUAACCACAAAAGAUGGAUUUGUUUGUUUUUUUUUUUUCACCAGGUAGCCUUGGCUGGUCUGGGACUCAGUUUGUAGACCAGGCUGGCCUCAAACUCACAGAGAUCCACCGGCCUCUGCUUGCUGAGUGCUGGGAUUAAAAGCGUGCGCCACCACAUCUGGCAACUUCUAUUUUUUUUUAAAGUUGUAAAAAAAAAUUAAAAAAUAUAAUAAAUAAAAUAAUAAACAAAGAAAAGGAAGUAUGUAAAGCAAGAGCAGCACAGAGGGGGAGGGCCUGAAGAGGGUAGAGGCCCCUGGAGCUGGAGUUACAGGCAGUUCUGAGUCACCUGAUAUGGAUGCUGGGAACCAAAUGCAGGCCUUCUGGAAAAGCAGUGUGUGCUCUUAACCCCUGAGCCAUCUCUCCAGCCUCAAGCCUUUUACAUUUUUCUACAUUUUUUUUUAAAGACAGGUUUCUCUGUGUAGCCUUAGCUAUUCUGGAACUUGCUCUGGCCUCCAUCUCAGAGAUCUGCCUCCCCCUGCCUCAGUUCUGGGAUUAAAGACUUGUGCCACCACAGCUGGCCUCAAGACUUUUUUUUUUUUUUUAAGUCAAAACAUAUUGCUAUGAAGGGCAGGUGUAAGGGGCACACUCGUGCUCAGCUUAUGGGAGAUCUUUGCUGCCUGCAUGGCCCUGGAACAUUGGGUCUCAUCAUGCAGGGUCUUUUGGUUUCUUUCCUUAGGUAUGUUUGCAGGGCUAGGGAUGGAACCCAGGGCCCCUUGCAUGCCAGGAAGGUGUUCUGCAUUCCCCUAACUCCCGACCCGAGCUACGGUCCAGUCUCUUUUGGUGAAAUUCUUUAGGCUUCUACAGAGUCAGUUGAGACACAGUCAUCUGCCAGAGAAUAGCUGAAGGGGGCUUUGGAGAAGGCUCAUUGGGCAAGUACACAAGACUGAAGAACUGAGUUCAGGUCUCCAGAGCCCACGUAAAAGCGAUGGCCUAAAUGGUUGUAAUCCCAGCAUCCACAACCAGGAGAUGGAAAGUGGAGACAGGAGAAUGGAGGGAAGGCCAGCUAGUCUGGCUUGUGCAAGAACAAAGCGGGGAGCAACACCUGAGGUUUAGCCUUUGGCCUCUAUUAGUGCACUGUGGCAUGAAUGUGCCUACACCCCUAUACAAGAGCACACACACUUGUGUGCAUACACAGAACAGUCAUAGGAGCCACUUCCUGGAUUUGCUUCCAAAGGUUUACUGAACACCUACUGUGUGCAAAGCUUACAAGACACAAGAAGGAGAUGGGACCACAUAGAUGGGGGCGGAGGGGUGGAGAUCACUUCCUGGGUGUGGUGGAAAGGGGAAUGGACGGGAAGGAGAUGGUGAAGUCAGCCCCUCCCUUACUGGUCCCCAGGCUUGUCCUACUUGGGCAAACUGAGGCUCAGGUGGCACCCAGAGGCCUCCUGUAGCCAUCAUCUUCAGUGCGGCUGAUCAAAAGGGCCUGGGUCUAUUUAUAGCAUUUUUAAAAGCUCACCAGGAGUUUCAAUUGUUUAGUGUGGCCAGAGAACCAUGAAGAAAACAGAAAACUGACAAACUCAGGGCAAGGUGCUGGAUAAGACAGGGUAUAGGGCCACACACAGCAGGUCCAGGAGCUGGCUUGCAAGACUGCAGCCAAAUACCAUCUUGCUAAGCACUGGUUCAUUUUGGAAAAUGUUGUUUGAAUUCAUUAAAAACGUGUACAGGUGUUUUGUCUGCCUGUAUGUCUGUGUACCACAUGUGUGCUUGUUGCCUGUGGAGGUCAGAAGAGGGCAUCGGAUCCCAGCACUGGAGUCACAGAAGGGUUGAGAGAUGUCAGGUGGGCGCUGGGAAUUGAAUCUGGGUUCUUUGCAAGAGCAGCCAGUGCUCUUCAUUGAUGAAGUCUAUCUUUCUAGACUCCUGCAUUAAUUAAUUUUUAAAUGGACAAAAAAUGCUUGUAUCUACUUAAGGGAAAAAGGGUGGCAUUUUGGUCCACCCUGGAAUGGUCACUCAAGAGAGAGAGGCCACCCAACCUCACCAAUGUUUAUUCUAUCUUCUAGCCUCAUUCCUUCCCUCCUCCCCUCUUCCAACCCUCCCCCUCCCUCUCUUUCCUCUUUCUGAGACCUUCUCAUUAGCUGGCUAAUGAGCAGGUGCAGAUGACCUUAAACUUGUGAUUUUCCUGCUUCUAUUUCCCAAGUGAUGGGAUUGCAGGUUUUGUGUCUCACACCUGGUUAGUGCAGUGCUAGGGACAGAAUCCAGGGCGUCAAGCAUGCUAGGCAAGUGUUCUACCAACUGAGCCACAUCCCCAGCGCCAGAGUGAAAGUACACCCCCUGGCUCCUUCUGGAAUUCAGGGAAUUCCUGUCCUUCCCACAGUAAGGAUAGGGAGAUCCUAGCCUAAGAACUGCAGUCAACGUAGUAAGGACUCCUAACUGAAGAUCUCAUGAGGUGAGCUGAUUUCUCAAUGCUGGGUCUCACAGUGGUAAAGACAACAUUCAAGAGUGUUCCUCAGAUUUAAUUCUACAGGAGCCCGCUGCUCAUUAGCUUUGUGACUUCAGGCCAGUGGCUUGGUCCCUCUGAGCCUCAUCAGUUUCCUGGUUCCUACCCCACUUGACUUGGAGGGACAGGUGGGGUUAUGAUAGUGAAAGCCCCCAGCACAGAACCUGGCUAGUUAAGUCCUCUGUGACUGGUGGUUUGGGCUUCACCCAGCCAGGAGGAUCCCUUCCCAUAAUAGCUAGCCUCAUUCCCUUCUGGAGCUUUCCCCACUGCACAUGGGCUGUGUAGUGUAGCUACUAGUGUGUAUCUUACUGAGGGCCUAUGCCACAGUCUGUAGAUGUUUGGAGGACAUACUGAGACCCAAUAGUACUUCUCCUCCCCUCCCCCCAUAGAUAAGAAAAAGCAAAGCUCCCAGAGGGUGGGGGUAGCACUGAGGUUGUGCACUCACAGGGCCACCAGAGCCCUGGUCCCCUACUUCUAGUAGGUCACCCCUUUCUAGCCCCGGAAGGCCCACUCUGCCAGAUUCCUUGACAGUGCCCUCUACCAGGUAAACCUUGAAGGAGGAGAGAGCCCUCAAAGUGUUGAGGUGGGGUGCCGAAGGACCCGGUGAGUGGGGGGCAGAGGUGCGGCUGGGCUAGUGAGUUGAUUACCGGUUGACUAGGUGACUCAUUUGUACCAACAGGCUGGUGAGACAUAGAGAAACCCCGGUACAGGAAGAUGAAGUAGGAUAACAAACCCAGAGGUUCUUUGAAAACAGUCAACUUGCCUCAGAGUUGGGCCCCUGGCUGCUAUUUGCAGAACUCAAAAGCUGCUGUGACCCCAGGCACAGUGACCCCCAGUACAGGGUGGCUGGAGCUUCAUCUCGCUCACCUGACAGAUGGGGAUAGGACCUCACUGCUUCCCCCCCCCAUCCUUGGGGUGGGUUUGAGACUCCAACACCCCUUGUGUGGUACUACGGUGUAUUUGCACAGAACCUGUGUACAUCUUCCCGAGAUCUUUAAAUCUACUCUGGUACAUCAAAUGCUGAAUGAGCGCACAUGCUGUGGAGAUGGAAAAUCUGCUGUGUUUAGGGAACAACAUGGAAAAAUAUCUGUGCAUAUUCAGCACAGAUGCCAUCCUUUGCCCUGAAUAUUUCCAAGUCAUGCUGGAUGGAGAAACUGUAGAUAAAGAAGGCCACCCAAGGAGUGCUACCUCACUGGCUCGUUCUGAGGAUAAAAGGACAGAGUGUGAGCCACAUGUACAGGGCCUGGCUCCUGACAGGAGAGGCGGGCCUUCUCUUAAGCCUACUCUGGCUCAUAGCACCCUCCAAGCUUCUCCCCAGCAUCCCCCAGCUUGGGGAUUUGCUGGGUGGAAAGGUGCUCCCUCAAAGAACAUGCCUUGUGGCCAUGGCAGCCUGGGAUCCGCAGGCAGUUUAGGCCGUGUUUGCUUUUGUGCCUACUGGACCCUUUCCUUAUGGAGAGUCAUAGAGGACCCCAGGGGAGUUCAGGAAGGCAGAAGCAGCCUAGAGCUGUUCUGGUCUCGCUAUCAGAAAACUGUGCUGCCUCCGUGCUGGCACCUGAGCGGCACAGUUUGUUUUCACAAAUUCAGCCAGAUCCUCUGUGCCAUUGUGACUUUUUUUUUUUUUUUAAUACAGCUUUCUGUUUGUUUUGCAUCUAGGCUGUGAUACAGAUGAAAUGAAUGACAAUCCACAUUAGCCACAGGCUGAUAAACCCCCCUGGAAUGUUUGCUGAAAAGCAAGGCAGGGGAGGUUGGUCCAUGGAGGAGCCCUAUCACCAGCCAUCAGCAAGGGCCAGACCUGAUGGAGGCUGGGAGGCAUGUCUGGCAGCCUAGAGACCUUGAGAGCUUUCUGGGCGCCUCCAGCCUGCUCAUGGUGAGGCUGGGGAGCCAGUCUCGUGUGUGUGUGUGUGUGUGUGUGUGUGUGUGUGUGUGUGUGUGUGUGUGUGUGUGUGUGUGUUUGUGUGUGGUAGCAUCCCUACCACAUCCAUGACCUUGGCAUUAAAGUGAAACUCCUUUGUGUAGAAUGGCACGAACUUUAACAAGGAGUUAACAUCAUCAAAUGGCCUGAAUAGGGCUGUAAAAGGGAGCCCAGAUGAAACUUUCUUGAAUGGAUAAACACUUUUGUGUAAGUGGGAGGUAGAUUAAGUUCUGGAACUGCCCUGGCCCUCUCCAUUUCCCUCACUCUUGACACUCCUCCUCCUGUUUUCUUUGUGGUACUGGAGGUGGGCUCCAUGGCCUUUUACAUGUUAGGCAAGUGUCCCAUCACUAAGCUACAUCCCAGCCUCUGACGGAGUUUUCUUAAGUCAGGAAGUUCAGGAAAGACUUCAAAUAGGCAACAGAACCUAAUAUUUUUCCAUAUUGACAAUCCCCAACCAACCAACCAACCAACCAACUAACCAACCAGUUGAACCAUUCACCCACCAACCCACCCACCCACCAACCAGCUGAAUCACACACCAACUAACCAGAUGAACCACAAAUAAACCACCCAACCAACUAUACAAUCAACCAAUCAAACAAUUAGACAACUAAUGGAACAACCAACCAACCAACAGGCUGAAUAAACAAUCCACUAACUAACCAACCAACGGAUCAACCAACCAACCAAUGGAAUAACUAACCAACUGAACCACCAAUUAUUCUAGUAACUGAGUCACACCAACCAAUUAACCAACCAACCCAUUGACCAACCAACUGAAUCAUUAACCAAUCAAUGAACCAACCAACCAAGCAUGCAAGCAACUAGGUAGCCAACAACCAAGAGGUAAAACCACUAACCUAAAUAUUUGCUGGGUUGAAAAGAAAUCCCUUCUUCCUGUGUUUCUGUUCAUGGUCGUCAACCCUACCCGCAACUGAGGAGUAAUGUUAAUUGCUCCUUAGACACCCUCUCUGCUGGGCCAUCCCACCAUUGCUUUCUGCCAUUCCUCUAGAUCCUCUAGAUGUUGCUCUGUAGGGCACCUCUGUCCCUUGCACUGUGGCCCACGGGCUCCUCAUCUGUAGCCAGUGGCACAAACUGCACGGCUGCAGAGUCACAGACUGAAGGGUCCAGUCCCAGCUAUCUGACUCCUGGGAAGCCCUGUCUGUUCUGGUCCCUCACUUUUCCAGGUGGAGAUCACCCACCUGGGUCCAAGCAGACAGUAAAUUCCCUGGGUUCUUUGCCCCGAGCUCCAUUCCUACCACCACAUUAUGCUGUCAAGGUACUGCACACUUGUAAUCCCAGGACUUGGGAGGUGUAGGUAGGAAGAUUAGGGGUUCAGGGCCAUCCUUGACUACAUAUUGAGUUUGAUGCCAGUCUAGACUCCAUGAGACACUGUCUCAAACAAAACAAAACAAAACAAGCAACAAAAACAAAGGCCAUACCCACAGUCACUGUCUAUCAGUGGCAGAAAGUCAGGUGAAGCAAAAUCAAGUGUGUGGGGUUGGGAGGGGAGGUAUUGUGGGGAGGGUGACUGUGCAGUCCUAGGCUGGCUGCCUUUGUUUUUUUUAGCAGCCAGAAUCUCUUGGCCACUUGUCUUUGAUAUCCUUUAAUUAGUCUUCACACUUGCCACUAUGGGUCAUGGUCUCUAGGAAGUGUCCCGGACACUGCCUGGACCCACUGUAGUUCCUAGAAGCCACUGCUCAGGAGUCCCUCCCACCUGACCUGGGCUGCAAAGGAGCUUCGCUGGCUGUGCACUGACCUUGCCUUCCCCCACAGACCCGAUACUAAAUAAGUAUAUUAUUUACAAAAUAUCGCUAUCGCCUAGAAAAUAUCUCCCCAGGAAGAAUUAAACAGUGACACAUUAAAACCUUUUAAAAUGCAGGCAUGCAUAAGCUGGCAUGGGGCGCUGGCCACACAGACCCAGUAGACAAACAAGUUAAUGGGCUUCCAGGCAAUGCUGGCUCUAUUCAAAGAUAGAGACUGUACAUUUGAGCCUAUCCUAGAGCCCUGAUGCUGGGACAGCUUGCUCAGUUGCUGUUGGAGGAAGGAAUGCUGUCUAAGGCAGUGAGGGUGAUUUUGGAAAACUAGAGUAGGGCUGGGAAGGUAGUUCUAUCAGUAGUGCAUGGAAGAGGAUCUGAUUUCAAUCCCCAGAACCCACAUCUAAAAAACAAAACAUUUAGGCGUGGAGGUAUAGGUUUGUAAUCACAGCGUCUGGGAAGGCAGAGACAUGCAGAUCUCUGAGGCUGUCUCAGUCAGCUUUACCUACAUGGUGAGCUCCAGGCUAGUGAGAGAUGAUGUCUAAAAACAGAAAAAGUAAAAAAAAAAAAAAAAAAAAAAAAAAAAAAAAAAAAAAAAAGAUGGCCAGGUGUGUGGUAUAUGACUUGAAUUCCAGCACAUUUGAAGCAAAGGAAGGCAGAUCUCUGUGAGUUUAAGUUCAGCCAUCCUGGUCUACAUUUCAAGGUCCAGUUCAGAUAAGGUGAUGGAGAAGAAGGAGGAGAAAAGGAAGAGAAAAAAGAAGGGGAAAGGGUGGGGAGUUAACUCCUAAAGAACAAAACUCAAGAUUGACCCUCUGGCCUCCACAGACAGACAGACAGACAGACAGACAGACAGACAGACAGGCACUCACACACACACACACACACACACACACACACACACACACACACACGAUCCAACAGAAAAAGUCCAGAGCAGAAGGCUUGAAACAGGUUGAAAAUGACCACUGGAGUCUGUACAACCUUUGACCUCUACAGUCUCACUCAACCCUGGAAAGUCAGUUACUGCCACAUUCUUACCGAUGGGGGGAGCAGAGGUUCAGGGGCAGCAUGGCCUCCAGGGUAUGACCCAGCCCAAGCCCUGACACCCUCACCUCUCCCCGACUAUGUACAGCUCUUUCCCCAGCUCCACACACCUUGCCUGGGUUUUGAGGAAACUUCCAGCCUCAGAAUAGCGUUCUGUAUUAAAGAAGGUUUUGAAGGAGAAAUUGGAGGGCAUCAGUCUCUGCCACUUCCUGUAGGUAGAGUUCAUAAGGAGGUCAGUACUAGGCCUGCAAACACCUCUUCCAGGCCUCUCUCUCUCCAGUGAAUAACUCUGCUUGCUAGGCUACCCUGCUGCAGGCUGGGAGCCUGGUGAUGAAAGCAGACAAAAGCCUUAUCCUGUUAAGCUCCUGGUAUGAAUCUAAGGGAGCAUAGGAGAUGCUAUGAUGCACAGGGCAUGUGUGGAAGCAGAGGAGAAAGUAAUGUUUUGGACGAUGGUUUAGGGCUGUCUUUAUAGAAAGUGGAACAUUCGAGCUGGGCAAUAAGGCGGUGGAUAUAAUAUCAUUGGAAUAUUCCAGAAAGAUGUGAGAGCAUGAGGCAAUCGGUAGAAAUCAUGCUAUGGUUAGGGACCUGCCAGUGCUGGAACGAGACUGUAGUAUGGUGGCAGAAAGCUGGUUAGCUCAGCAGUGACCAGGACGCAAGGAAGCUUGAGGGCUUAAUUAAGGUGUCUGGGCUAUUACUUGGGAGCACUGGAGCAUGUGUGUGUGUGUGUGUGUGUGUGUGUGUGUGUGUGUGUGUGUGUGUGUG